AAACGAUGAAGGGUCCAUUUUGUGGUUAAUCUCCUCUUUUGUGUGGUCUUGGAUAAAGAAAUGGAAUCGUGUUUUUUAUUGUUCAUCAGAAAGAAUGAAAGUUCACAAAACCAGAAGCACGGAGAUCAAGUCUAAGACCCAGAGACUCAGAGAUAAUUCAAUGAAUGAUCCCUUUUGUUGUUGCUAUUUUUUUUAAACAAUGAGUAAUAUUGAACUAUAGUCUAUUGGAUGGUGACUUCAAAGCAAAUGAGAUAAUGAAAAUCCUGAAGCUAAAUGGUGGGUAAAACAGGCUCUGUUGUACUCUUCUCUUUAUUUGGUGAAUUAUCUCAAAACGUUCACAGCCAUGUCAAAUUAAAAGCAAAAUACAGAUAAUAUGUUAGGGGCAGAACUGCCUGAAGGUAUCUUGCCUUUUCAGUGUUUAACUGACUCGCUACCUCAGGAUAGCUGAGAGUCUAGGGCUGGAACCUCAUAUAGAGAGUUGAAGGAUCAAGACAAGCAGGGCUGUUGGACUUAGCCAAUCGCAAGCUCAGAAAUACAUUGUCAGUAAUACUGAAAAUUUUGCUAGUGAGAGGUAAUUGAAAUUCAUAUUUUCUUGGCAAAAGGAGCAAAGGAAUCAAAGAAAUGUACAAAAUGAUUGUAUAACAUAUAUUUUCAAAAGUAUUUUUCCUUCAUUUUUAUUGUCUAUAUAUGCGUGUUUUGCCUGAACGUACUGUGCAUCCUGGGCAUACAAUCCUCAUUGCGGCCAGUAGAGGGCAUCAGAUUUUUUUCUGGAACUGGAGUUAAGAGAUGGUAAUAAGCUGCCACGCAGUAAGUGCUGGCAAUUGAAUACAUUUCCUCUGGAAAAAGAGCCAGUGUCCUCUCAACCACUGAGCCAGCGUUCUUAACUAUUGAGCAAUCUCUCCAGUCCUACUUUGUAGAAUGUCUUGUGUAUUGUAUGGAUGCAUCACCUGUCAAUCAAAAAGCCUAUGGCCUAUGGCUUAGGCAGGAAAUGGGAGGUGGUACUUCUGGGAGGAGGAGAAUUGUAGGAGAGUGCUGGGCAGGAGAGUUGACCCGGAAGAUGUAAGGAGAUGGAGUCAUGAUAUCUGAGCACAGAAGAGAAAUCUCAGAGAAUCUGUGAAUUUGAGCCACGUGUACUCAUGAGGCCCUCUUGGACAUCAACCAACUCUACUUAACCUUAGAGUCCAUGUACGGUGCAUUGACUUCUGGGCAAGCAUAAUGUGACUAUUAACAUGAUUUGGAAGGUAUCAGACUAGUUUUCCUUAAGCUACUUGUGAUCUGUUCCUUCAUCUUUAAAGCAGAUUAAACAGUUUACAUAGAUCAAAGCAACAGAGCCUUUGUUACAUCAUGGGCAUUGUUGAUUUUUUUAAGUAAUUAUAGUUAUUAAGAUAGUAACUAUAAAAAAGAACUUCCUAUAAUUUGGCAUCAUUGAACCUGAUUGCAACCCAGUCACAAGAUAGUCAACACUGUAACUAUGCCUCUACCAAAACCAGAAAGCACAUAAUAGUAUCUUUUAACACUGGUUAGAGGACAGUUACAAAGUUAAAUAGAAAAUUGGGGAUCAGGGUGCAAAAAGGGGGAUAACAUUGACUACCUAGUUGGCAAAGGAAGGGUGUGUUGAAAGUUCCAUUGCUAUGAGAAAAAUACAAGCUAAACUGAGCAGACGAAGAAUCUGAUGGGUGGAAACUCUAGAAAGGAACUAGUAACACUUAGAAGCUUCAAUUUUCAUUUUAUAAUUCAGUGAGGUUUUGUAGUUUGUUCUGUACUGUGAUGGGAAGCUUAGAUUUCCCAAAGCUUCCUGUUUAAGGUUAUAUCUGAAUAUAAUUCCUGAAUAAUGUUCCAAGUGUUUUAACUUAUAGAAAACACUUAAAGAUACCCAACAGUUCUGAUAGCAAAGCCUCCAGCAAUAUUUUUCAGAAUACAAUGUUUCCGACAUCUUACCUUUCUGGGAUGCAGCUUCUCCUUCCCCUCUUUGUCCAUCACAGCAAUCAAAAACCUCACAGAGAGUGAGGAUUAACUUAUCCCAUGAAUAGGCCCUUCAGAUCACUCGGUAAUCAGUACAUGGUCAGAACAGCCUAGAGCACAUGAAAGUGGUUCCAGUUUCCUCAAUUCUUUUUUUUUCUUUUCUUUUUUUUUUUUUUUUGUUCUUUUUUUCGGAGCUGGGGACCGAACCCAGGGCCUUGUGCUUCCUAGGCAAGCGCUCUACCACUGAGCUAAAUUCCCAACCCCAGUUUCCUCAAUUCUUAAUUAAAAUAUGACAUACUUAGCUGUGUGCCCGAUCUUUUACCAGUGUUAAGAAAAUAAACAUGAACCGUCACACAGGGUUUUGGGAAGAACAUUUUAUUGCUAAGCAUAUCCUUGAACGAAAAAGCAAAUGGGAAAUAAAAGAGAAAAGGAAAAACAAAACAAAACAAAACAAAAAAAGCAGGAACAUCACAACGUUAUGAAAAAAAUCUCUUUCAGGGUCUGCAAAGAACACAACAGGAAUCCGAUGAAAGCUCGCAUACAGAAUGCACAGGUUCCCGUAAAACUGUCCAGAUAUUAACUUACACUAAAAGGAAUAUAACAAAUGAGAUUUUACUCCGAUUUUAAAAAAAAUGGAAAGAAAGGAGAAGGUCAGUUCACAAGAUCUCACGACUCCAAGAACAGCAAUCUGUCACAGACAUCGAGAUAUAAUCAACUUCAUAUGGGCUGGGCCAUUUAUCUAAAAUCGUGCUUUAAUACUCUUUUACAGUCCUGUCUUUUUAAUGACAACAACCAAAAAAAAAAAAAAGGGAAACUCUUAACACAUUGAGAUCUCGGAUAAGGAGGAACACCACUUUCCAUACACAUCAGUGAAGGCUUGCCAUUGUUUAAACUGCGCCUUCUGCCCCAUGUCUUUAGGAUAAUUGUUUUUCAAAGUCAAAUAUUCAUGCAACUUACAAAGACCAGCAAGAGUAGAUUUCUAAAUCUAAACAGCUGAUUGGUUUUCAUCUGUACAAGAGAAAUCGCAUACGCCUGCCCCUCCAGAUGACACACCUCGCCUCUGUGCGAGCAUGUGUCCUGUUUUAUCUUCUUGCUUUUUGAAUGGCUAUGGCAACGAAACCAGUUUGUUUAUUAUUAUUUUUUUUUACUCUGUACAUUGCUUCCUCUUUACAAAAAGAAGACAGAAAGAGAAUGGAACACAAACCGAAUAAACAGACAGAAAGGAAAUAACAGUUCUUAAAGCGGUAUGUACAUACACGACUGAGGGGUUAUACCAGCAAAAAUGUAGUAAAAUAUGUAAACAAAAUCUGAGAAGUUUCUGUUGUCUGUUGUUUAAAUUCUCUUUGACACAGUUAACUGUGACAAAACGAAAAAGAAACUCACACUUUCUUCACAUUUUAAGGUUUACUUUUUUGUUGUUUUGUUAUUUUUUUCUUUUAAAAUAACAUUCUCAUUCCACUUCAAGACUUUAACAGGUUUCUGUGUCAGUCAUCCCACCAAACAUACCAUGAUAAAUAUAUCUGUAUAUAUAUUUAUUUAUAUAUAUUAUACUAUUAAAUUCCUUUUUGUGUGUGUGUCACAGCAGCUUUAUUCAUUUAUUUAUUUGUCUUUUAAAAAAAGAUUGGGCGAAGGGAGACAUGAGGAGAUGGAAAGGAUUUACUCACAUCAGGCUACAAAGUUAAACCACAUGGAAACCGUUAUCAUGUCGAGGGGAGGGGAAUAACUAUGACUUUCACACUCGGCCAUGACGCGGCUUGUGUGACCAUUUGUGGUUGCAUUACGAGUUGGGAACUCCCCUGCAGUCAGUCUGUUGAAACAGAUGCUAGCAUUGUCUUUUCGUUUUUGUUUUGUGUUUUUUUUUCUUUGUUUACAUGCAUUUCACAGACCCAGUCCACCCCCUUUCCCUUCUUUCCUUCCCUUGGAAAGGCUCUGCUUUAAUUUGUGAGGCUUAUGUUUGCCCUGUUCACACAGUUUGGGUUGAUGGACAGGGACAGUAUUUGUUAAGUGAAACCAAGACACCAGCCCCAAAACCCAUCUGUCGUAGGUUUGAAUGGCAAAUAUUGGAAUUAGAUCUUGGGGACCUGCUUUGCAAACGGAUUAUCAUUCACCACAUGGGUUCACCAAAGCAUUAGGAAACUAACGAUUGAUUCUAGAGACACCACAACCUGCUACGUGGAGUGAAUGCCAUGGUUGAGUUUGAGUUCAUAUGGCAAGAGUCUCAUACUUUUUUUCUGAGUAAUUCUUUUUCCUUCUCUUCUUACGUGCAGUCAUUGUCAAAAAAUAAAUGAAAACCCAAAAGUUAUUUUCCCCUCAGGUCUUGGAAAGUUACACGCACACUGGUCAGAACCAGAUAAGGGUAUUUCUGGGUUUUUUUUUUUUUUUGUAUUGUUUUGUUUGUAUUUUUUUAAAGCAUUUUUCUUUUCUCAUUUUUUUGUUUUUGUUUUUUUACAUAAUUAAACAAACAAACAAAAAAUAAG